GACGAACGCUGGCGGCGUGCUUAACACAUGCAAGUCGAACGGUGAAAGGGAGCUUGCUCCCUGGAUCAGUGGCGAACGGGUGAGUAACACGUGGGCAACCUGCCCCAGACUCCGGGAUACCGCUUCGAAAGAGGUGCUAAUACCGGAUACGAACUCCUUGGGCAUCCUCGGAGUUGGAAAGUUUUUCGGUCUGGGAUGGGCCCGCGGCCGAUCAGCUUGUUGGUGAGGUUACGGCUCACCAAGGCGACGACGGGUAGCCGGCCUGAGAGGGCGACCGGCCACACUGGGACUGAGACACGGCCCAGACUCCUACGGGAGGCAGCAGUGGGGAAUAUUGCGCAAUGGGCGAAAGCCUGACGCAGCAACGCCGCGUGAGGGAUGACGGCCUUCGGGUUGUAAACCUCUUUCAGCAGGGAAGAAGCGAAAGUGACGGUACCUGCAGAAGAAGCACCGGCUAACUACGUGCCAGCAGCCGCGGUAA
rnacentral:rRNA from 1 species